GCCCUUCUCUCAGACAAAGCAUCCGGCCGCUUUACCCGGGAGGACGGCGGGCGCUCGGACUCCGCGGUCGGUGUCGCUCCGGGUGGGCUGGGGGGCAUUAUGUGCUCGGGGCGACCCUCUCCUGUUGGGAGAAGCGCGGCCGGCAGGUGCCUGGGGAGCGGCGCGGACCCGACGGCACCGCUCUGUGCCUCCUCCCCGCCCGGCUUCGGCCGCACGACAAAGUGCGGUGGGGCGGCCGCAGGAGAAAGGAGCAGAGCAGCGGUUUGUCCCGCUUUGGCUCUCGUUUCUCCGAAAGCCUGUGGUGCUCUCCUCGUGGAGUCGGACGGGGAUACGGCUCAGAGACGUCUCUCUGCUUUUCUACCCUCACCUCCUGUCGUUCCGUGAAUGAAACGCUCGGCAUCCGCGGGCAUCCCUGUGAGACUCCACGAGGGACUGCAAACCCAGGCAGCCACGGCCGUGCUGGGGAAUGAGGCAGAGCAUUUCCCACCUGCUCAGCUGCAGCGAGGAUGCCUCGAUGCCGACGAGGAAGCGGCAGUCGCAUCAGCAAAACACGAGUAGCGGCUGGAGCCUCAUCUGUGCCACGGCUCCUGCCAGCACAGCUGUACCACUGACAGCAGCGGAACAUUUUGCUCAAGUUCUCUAGAGGAAUCAAA
rnacentral:lncRNA from 1 species